UACCGAGGGGGCAAGCGUUGUUCGGAAUUACUGGGCGUAAAGCGCGCGUAGGCGGCUUUGUAAGUUCGAGGUGAAAGCCCGGGGCUCAACUCCGGAACUGCCUUUAAGACUGCAUCGCUUGAAUCCGGGAGAGGUGAGUGGAAUUCCGAGUGUAGAGGUGAAAUGCGUAGAGAUUAGGAAGAACACCAGUGGCGAAGGCGACUUACUGGACUGUAACUGACGCUGAGGCAUGAAAGCGUGGGGAGCAAACAGG
rnacentral:rRNA from 1 species